UUUUUUAGUUUUUUUUUCUCAAAAACU
rnacentral:sRNA from 1 species